rnacentral:misc_RNA from 1 species
GCUCGUCGGGACUAUUAAUUAAAUCAAUUAGUUAAAUCAGGGGGCAAUCGGGAGAUGUCCAACCGCAGCGUACGCACAGGGUUGGCCGAAGUGACCGAACAGGCUUAUUCUCGACGCCAUGGGAUCGAAGAACAAAGUUCUUGUUGGAGAAUCAGACCCAGAGUUGUCGUCAUGACUGUCGCUUGUUUAGUAAUCGCAUCCCUUAUUGCUUACUGGUUUGUCAAAUCUAUCUUGGAAAACUAUAACAAAAAAUCGAUGGAACGACUAUCGGCGGAAUUUGACAAGGGACGAUUUAACGAGGCUUACGAAAAACUGAGCACCGAUAUCGUUCCUUUAGAAUAUACCUUGAAUAUCUUGCCAAUUAUGGAAGAAGGGAAUUUCACGACGAUCGGGGAUGUGCAAAUCCAUUUGUCAUGUAAAAUCCCGACGAGACAUUUUCGCCUCCACUCGCACGGCUUGGAUUUGAGAAAUAUCAGUCUCAAGGAAUAUUAUACGUCGAAAAGCUUCAAUUUAAUUAAUCGAUUCUUCCCCAGCGGGGAAGAUUUUAUCGACAUAGUUUCAAGGGAAAUCUUACUCCCAAGUGAAACCUACUUGCUUCGUAUCCACUUCUAUGGGGAUUUAUCAAGCAGCCCCGAAGGACUCUUUAGAAGUAAUUACAAGGAUGAUCGAACCAAUGAAACCAGGUGGAUAACCGUGUCAAAUUUCUCCCCAAUUUUCGCCAGGAGAGCAUUUCCCUGUUUUGAUGAACCCUGGAUUAAAACGCCAUUCAGAAUUUCCAUUGGGCGGAAGUUCAACAUGCGAUCGCACUCUAAUGCGGAACGCCUUAUCGUAGAGGAGGUAUAUGGAAUGUCUGGCUACGUAUGGGACCGCUAUAAAAAGACAGUACCGAUGCCAACUUAUUUAGUGGCACUGAUGGUUACCGACUUUUCCGGUUAUUCCAUCACCACUAUGGAUCGGCCAAGUCAUACGAUUUACUCUAGAAAAGAGGUGCAACAAAGCACUGCAUACGUGGCAUCCAUUAUUCCAAAACUCCUGCGACUCAUGCAAAAUCUUACCGGGUUCUACUAUGAGUUGGACAAGUUAGAUGUAAUUUUCGUUCCCCAACUAUCUUACUCUGCAAUGGAAAAUUGGGGCUUAAUCACAUUUCGGGAGGAUUUCGUUCUCUUGAACGAUGAAACGUCAGUGGCCGAACCGAAAAUGAUUUCGGCUUAUAUAGUUGCCCACGAAGUAGCUCAUCAAUGGUUUGGAAAUUUGGUCACGCCAAAAUGGUGGUCCGACGUUUGGCUGAAAGAAGGCUUUGCUUCUUUCCUGGCAUACGUGACAGUAAAUGCAUUAAAUCGUAAUUGGACGAAGGAUGAAUGGUACUGUUACGAGUGCCACGAGAUGCUCACAUACGAUGCGAGCGCAAUUUCCCAUCCAUUACACAUAACUCUGAACACGACCAACCAGAUUACGAAUAUUUUCGAUAAAACCUCCUACUUGAAGGGGAAUUGCCUCACGAACAUGAUUUACCAUUUCCUCGGGAAGGCAACAUUUCUUUCCGCGAUACGACGAUAUCUGAGAACCUACAGCUAUAGAAGCGCCGACCAAUUCGAUCUCUGGGAGACGUUUCAGGAGGAAAUCAAUUUACGAAAUUCCCUUCCAAAAGAUCUCGCCAUGAAGGAGAUCAUGAUCACCUGGACGGAUCAGCCCGGAUUUCCGCUGGUCGAAGUCAAAAGAGAUCGUACUACAGGCACCGUUCUGUUAUCACAGAGGCGAUUUUUCAAAAAUGGAUUAAAAGACGACCCCUCGUUGUGGAUUAUUCCGUUGACGUGGACGACAGGAAACAGCUCGAAUUUUCAUGACACCACUGCUAAAUGUUGGUUAUCAGGCAGAACCAUGGAACUUAAUGACCCUGAUCUUAAUCGAGCGGUUUUAGGAAACCAGUGGAUUUUUUUCAACAUCAAUCGAGCUGGACUCUACCGUGUUAACUACGAUGACGGAAAUUGGAAUCUCCUGACAAACUCCUUCGGAGAAUUAUCACCGGUGUCGAGAGCAAAAUUACUGAGCGAUGCUACAGAGCUCGCCGAAGCGAACGUGUUAAAUUACACAAUUUUCUGGAGCAUCCUAGGGAAAUUGGAACACGAAACCGACCGGAUAGUAUGGAGAAUCGCGGUGAAGAUUUUGAAGCCUAUCGAAGAAAAAUUGCAGGGCGUGACUUUAUUUAAGCACGCGAUGUGCAAAUUACUGGGCAAAGUGUACGAGGUUGUCGCGGAUAUCCCGGAAUCUCGUCAGCAAGAUUUGCAAACGCAAUUUCGCGACGAUAUGUUGACGCUGUCAUGUUCGAUGAAUCACAGAGCUUGUGUGCGCAAAGCUCGCGAAGUUGUCCUACAGUGGUUGCACGAGGAACCCUCAAACAGAGUGCCUCUUCUGCUUCGGUCGUGGGCACUUUGCCCCUUCGCGAAAACCGCUGAUAAUUCCGAGUGGCAAAUGCUGCUCGAUAUAUUUAAAGAGCAACGUGACAAACAGUCAACUCUUUAUUCGGAAGCAGGUACAAUUGCUUUCGCCUUGGGAUGCCAUCGCAAUGCCACCAUUUUGAAAAGCUUCCUGCAAAUGGUAUUUCAGGAAUACAAAUCAUAUCUAAUUCCCGUGCUAUCGUCAAUUGCAAGUAAUCAAAACGGCCUGGAGGUUGCAAAAGACUUUUUGGAGGGCCACUUGGAAGAGAUCUUGUCAUCGGUUAACUCGUAUAAUACAUUGCAAGCAGUCGCUUCAGCCUGGAGUACAAAAGAAAGCCUAAACUGGGUAUGUAAAUUCGUGCAAAUUAAUAUUCGCGUUAGGUCUCGUUUGAUGUCGCGCCAACCGGUGGAACGGCGGUCGAAUAAGUUGGCAGCGGUAAGAAAAAAAGGGGGGAAAAAAAGGAAAGAAAAUCGAGAAAAAAGAAAGACCCAGCAAAAAGAGCCCGAGAUGGAAUAUUGUUGGCACAAAGUAACCGGCCCGACGUCUUCUUCCAGUUUGUACGUCUUAAACGAUUACGCGCAGUACAAGACGAGUCACUCGACCGAGUGAUCCAUCAAGUCGAACGCAACGUCGAUUGGACUAACAAGUACAAGGAUCAGAUAUUUCAGUCAUUGAGGCGAAUCGCCGGGAUCACUUCGGACAAGCCCGAGACCAUCGGGGAAAGAAGAAGCAGGAAGAGUAUCUAGACCAACGAAUUAAGAAGAGAUGAAAAGUCUCCUGGCGAGGUCUCCAUCAGCGUUUCCGCGUGUCAAGAGACCUCGCCAUCGAGACAAAUCGGCAGACACAGAUGGCGGCGAACAACACCGGCGAUUCUUCGGCCGGAUAAGAGGCGAACGGGGUAAAAAACGAGGAGCGAUAACGACGUGCCGGAUAAGUGGAAUAACGAGGUCCGAAUACGAGGGGAAAAAGAAACGGAGAGAAGGACCGGCUACAUUGUGUGAAUUGGGGCCUUAAGGCCGCCGCUAAAUGGGAUGCUGGACCGGCACUUUCGUGUGCCUCCCGUGCCGUGCCGGUGUGGCUCGCAUAAUGAGCGUGUGUUUCGUGUGGCCAGGAAUGUUGCUAAGUAAGGGAUUGAUUCACGGGCAGUUAUAAUGCCGCCAAACCGAAGCCCUAAUAGAUUCAGGUCAACGCCACGACCGUUCCUCGAAGUCGUUUAUUACGAGAGGGAAGGGAGCGUUUCGUUGCAGCGCCCCUUUGUGGUGUCGAGAGAUUUUCGAGCGGACUCGGCGAGGACCGGCGAAUGCACUUUUUAGCCCUUAGCGUACCUACGAUCCGAACCAGUGCCUCCCACGACGUACCGGGGACGAUUCUUCAAUGUCACUUCUGGGCCUGGGCCCCCUUUAAUAGAUGGCCCGCGUGCGUCAUUUAAUCGAGAUUGCAUGGGAACUAGAAAUAAAAUCUUA